CUUUUGAGUCCUGAGAACUUAAUUGAGUAGCACAAGUGAUAAUACAUUAGUUUCUACCAACUUAAAUCAUCUACAGUGAAAAAUGACCGCUCUGUCUCACACUAUAAACAGGCAGAGUGAGUUUGUAGCAAACCGCAGCACUGCCUCAUGAAAGCUACUUUAGCAUGAAAGCUACUGUUAGCAUGAAAGAUACUGUUAACAUGAAAGCUACUGUUAACAUGAAAGCUACUGUUAACAUGAAAGCUACUGUUAGCAUGAAAGAUACCAAUGGCAUGAAAGUUACCGCUAACAUGAAUGCUACCAAUGGUAUGAAAGCUAUAGUUAGCAUGACAGCUAUUGUUAGCAUGAAAGCUAUAGUUAGCAUGAAAGCUAUUGUUGGCAUGACAGCUAUUGUUAGCAUGAAAGAUACCAGUGGCAUGAAAGUUAUUAUUUGCAUGAAAGCUACCCUUGACAUAAAAGCUAGUGUUAGCAUGAAAGCUAUUAUUAGCGUGAAAGCUACCUUUAACAUGAAAGCUACAAAUGGCAUGAAAGCUAUUGUUAGCAUGAAAGCUAUUGUUGGCAUGACAGCUAUAGUUAGCAUGACAGCUAUUGUUAGCAUGAAUGCUAUAGUUAGCAUGAAAGCUAUAGUUAGCAUGACAGCUAUUGUUAGCAUGAAAGCUAUAGUUAGCAUGAAAGCUAUUGUUGGCAUGACAGCUAUUGUUAGCAUGAAAGAUACCAGUGGCAUGAAAGUUAUUAUUUGCAUGAAAGCUACCCUUGACAUAAAAGCUAGUGUUAGCAUGAAAGCUAUUAUCAGCACCCAUCAAAUGCUUGUCUUUCUCUACAUCAGUGUGUUUGUUUACAUCCUGUCACAAACCCUUAUAUUUACAUCCCAUCCUUUAAUUUUUCCUUUUCUUUGAGUCACGAUGUUUCGUUAAAAUGUAUUUUCCUCUUCUCACACGAAUCUAGCAAACAGACUCUUGAUUUAAGACGGAUAAUAAAUAUUCUAACUUCAAAAUACUGAAAAAGAAAACCUUACCGAGCAGAAACUAUCCUUGUACGUUACGACGACAACUUUCGUUUCGUUUUUGACGUUUUUAAGCAGUAAAACGUCAGAUUAGUUUUUCUACUUUCACUCCAUUAGACGACAUUUCCAGUUCUGCCUAACACAUCAGCAUACAUUCGAAGAACAAUAUCUUAAUGCACUCUGAGCCGCUGAGAUUACUUCAGAGUCAGUUACAAGACAACAAAAGGUUUUUCUAACAAGAGCCGGUCUUUAAUUAUUCAGAAAUGACAAAUAAGUCCUCUUUGGUGCCUGCCAUCCCCACAUCCCCAUAAAAGACAUCGGGGGGAAGUCAUUAAACUUUAAAUUCACAGUGACGUCUCCCCCUCGUGUUGUGCUGAGUGGAAAAAAAAGAAAAAUCUUUUAUCAUAUCAGUGUCUCUGUUUCUGUCCGAGAGUCUUUCAGCGUCCAUUAAACACUGAAACCAGGGACCCUGCUGGCUGGAGAGGAAGAGCGAGACAAGCUUUUAAUGCUGUGUGUUGUUUUCUGUCGACUGUGAGACAGUAGAGGAACUAAAAGAGGCUUUUUAACUCUGUUUUAACUCGACGCAGAGUCCUUUUCGGGGCUGAGGAACAACGCUGCCCCUCUAGAGACAGUCAUAUCUGGAGCUGUAUCUAAGGAUGUUUGUCACUUUGGAUUCGUUUCUGCUGCUCGUAAUGUGUUCUACCUCCGUUUCAGUUAGCAGACAUUUAAAGGGAACAUUUUAUUUCACUUCUGGGAGUUGUCUUGUUUAGGAGAAAGUUUGCAGGAAAAAUAAAAUAGUUUGAAACCGAAGACGAGCUGACAAUUUAGUGAGCAGACUGAUUUUUUUCUGUCACAGCUCUACGUCUGAAUCCUCUCAAUUAUUUUAACGGUUUCUGUAUCAGUCAUCUCUUUACUCCGUCCUUUAGCUUUCCAGACACACACCUGCCUCCUCCUCCUGAAAACUGAACCAAACAGAAGACUUAGAGGUGCACAUUUCCCUCGUAAAGAUGCUUACAAUGAGUGUUUGAAAAGUCUGACACUGCUGUAAACCCCUGAAUCUGUGCUUGGAGCUCAGUUUGGGAACAUUCAAUGACCUGCACUUAUUUAAAAAUAACUCAAAUCUGUACUCAGCUACUUCACACACUCCUGGAAAUCCCUGCUCGAGGCGUCAUUCAUCAUAUCCUCACUGUUUCGAGUUUAUCACCUGAAGUUUCCAGCUAUGACGCAUCUUUGCAUCUUAAACAUCCAUUAAUUUUUGCUAUUUUAAGCUCUUUAAUUGCCUCCACAAGCUGUGAACCGCGGACCUGACUGCUGCUGCCGCUGCUGUAUCUCUCGGUUAAGUGGGCCAAACAACUUCAAUCCUGUAUUUUCAUCACUUUUCAGAUCAGGUAGUUUCUCCGUCCAGUCUUAAACUCUCGCCUCGCAGUUUGAAAACUCUGCUCUUUAAAAAAAGUGAUGGAUGGUCACAGACGGCUUGUGUAACGAGCAGUUUCUUCUGCAAAUAAGUAAGAAAAAGCGCCGGGUGUCUUUACAAUGUUACUGCCUCCUUAAAUCUCUGCAGUUUUGCUGCACCGUGAAAAAAUAUAAGAGAUGGGAGAGAUGUAAAUCAAAGAGCGGUAACGGCCUGGAGAUAACAAGAAAUUCAGCCCUUUAGAUAUGCCCUCCAUGAUGGAUGGAUUUUCCUCUCUUUAUUGGCUCUUUAAACUUUUCCCAACAAUGAGGUUAGGCGGUGAGACGCUGAUAAUACCUGUGCAGUGUGUGUGUAUUUGCCCACCAAGACCGAGAAGUAUCUACAAACUGUUGAGUCCUUCUCUACCAACUCCGGCUUUACCAAGAAGGGAGAGACAACUAUUCAUGAGCGUCCUAAACAAACAAAAAAAGAAGUCUUUCCCCCCCUCACACUGGGAGAUUACAUGCUUGGGAAGGAUUUCCAAGUGCAUAUCAGGCACUUGAGAAAAUGAACUCUUCAAGCAGAAAGCUGUGCAUCAGAGAGAGGCAGCAGGCGGCGGCUGAGUUGAGUCUGUGUUUUCAUACCGAAGAAUAAGCAGGAAGAAGCUGAAAGACUUCAAAGUGCUGUUUUUGUGCCACCAGAGUAUUCCACGGAUAAUAGACUUAAGGGGAAGAUCUAUCAAACAGCACACUUGAGGACUUUAACGUGAGAUGAGAGUGAGUGGAGGGUUUGAGUGCAUCCAUGUUUAAUAGGAGCGCUUGAUCAUAGAAAUGUGUUUGUGUUGACGCGUGUGUGUGUGCGCGUGUGCACUCUCUAGGUGCGAUUUAACCGAAGGCAGGUUCACGGGUGUCACUUAUGCUUCUAUAUUUGUAAACUGAAUAUGUUAAUGAGCGCCCUGUCCGCCCACGCACAGCCGUCCACCUACAAACGCGCUCAGAGGAGGCGCCGCGGGGCCGCAGGGGUACAGCUUAUUUAUGCAAACCUCUCCUGUUGAUCGCUGCCAACUUUGAUACAUGUUGAAUUAUUUCCAUCAGCGCGCGCUCAUCGCCCAAUACAGGGCCCGAUCAGUCACGGUUAACCACAUUGGAAAAGAGCGAGGCGUGCACUCCCAUGCACCGUCGACCGGCUGCAGACGUAAACAUCUGAAGUGACUCGAUGAUAAAGCACGGCCGGCCGCCUGUGCUCGGUAGAAUAAUGGCCGAAUACUUAUCAAUAUUAGGCAGGGGGUCUGUCCUGUUAGAGCCUCGCAGCGGAGUCAUUAAUUGUGCCGGGCUCAUAAAUUAUAUGCAAAUACGCCGAUGACAUUCUGAUAUGUAAAUAAUGUCACUUUUUAAUCAUGAAGAGCGGAGAUAAUGCACUUGCUUUUAGAUGGAGCCGUAUAAGAGCUCUGCAAAUGUGGAAAUACUGACUCCAGGAUUAUAUUAGUUUAUUACUGAGACUUUUAUUUCAUUAAAGCCUCCAUAAAACACAACAGAGCCAAAGAGCCGCGUCGUUUCAAAUCAUCCUGUUAUUUGAGGAUGAUUUUUACAUGUCCCGUCGAACUGAAUUCAAAUAAACAUCAUUUUCUUUGUGAAGACGUCUGUCUUUAAUGUCAGCUGCGUGUGCAUGUCUUCAUGAUCUCAUUACCUCUCUUAUGUGACAACAUCACGGCAUCAACGGGUGGUCAUGGUCUGUCAGUGGGGGGUCUUUUUGCAUAAUCCUGUUCUAUAAGAUCUAAAAUAAAAACCAUAAUAAGCUGAAGAAUAACCCACGUAGUAUUUACAUAGGAGGUCUUUGAAGCUCAUGUGAAGAAAAUCCAGUCCACAGGAGACAUCCAGUCACUUUGACCGUAACGUACCUCUGAUCUCUCAGCUGAUUUUGUCACGUACAUGUUUAAAGUCUCACUACAAUCAUUUUUUUAACUACUUAAAGUGUUCUCAGUGGUCUUUAAAUUGUGAUUAUGAAGUUUUUAGCCAAAAUCACGUUACCUGUGUCAAAUUUAAGGGCUCUUCUUCUGCAGAGCUCAUAAACAAUUCGCCUCUGA